rnacentral:rRNA from 1 species
AGUGAACGCUGGCGGCGUGCUUAACACAUGCAAGUCGAACGAGAACGGGUUAUAGCUUGCUAUAAUUGUCAGCUAAGUGGCGCACGGGUGAGUAAUGUAUAGGUAAUAUGCCUCUUACUAAGGGAUAACAAAUGGAAACGUUUGCUAAUACCUUAUACUCCUUAUUAACAGAAGUUAAUAAGGGAAAGAUUUAUUGGUAAGAGAUUAGCCUGUAUUGUAUCAGUUAGUUGGUGGGGUAAUGGCUUACCAAGACUAUGACACAUAACUGGUUUGAGAGGCUGAUCAGUCACACUGGAACUGAGACACGUUCCAGACUCCUACGGGAGGCAGCAGUGGGGAAUACUGCACAAUGGACGAAAGUCUGAUGCAGCAACGCCGCGUGGAGGAUGACACAUUUCGGUGCGUAAACUCCUUUUAUAUGAGAAGAUAAUGACGGUAUUAUAUGAAUAAGCACCGGCUAACUCCGUGCCAGCCGCCGCUGUAAAAC